rnacentral:rRNA from 1 species
UACGUAGGGUGCAAGCGUUAAUCGGAAUUACUGGGCGUAAAGCGUGCGCAGGCGGUUAUGCAAGACAGAUGUGAAAUCCCCGGGCUCAACCUGGGAACUGCAUUUGUGACUGCAUGGCUAGGGUACGGUAGAGGGGGAUGGAAUUCCGCGUGUAGCAGUGAAAUGCGUAGAUAUGCGGAGGAACACCGAUGGCGAAGGCAAUCCCCUGGACCUGUACUGACGCUCAUGCACGAAAGCGUGGGGAGCAAACAGG